GAUGAACGCUGGCGGCGUGCCUAAUACAUGCAAGUCGAGCGAACAGAUAAGGAGCUUGCUCCUUUGACGUUAGCGGCGGACGGGUGAGUAACACGUGGGUAACCUACCUAUAAGACUGGAAUAACUCCGGGAAACCGGGGCUAAUGCCGGAUAACAUGUUGAACCGCAUGGUUCUACAGUGAAAGGCGGCUUUGCUGUCACUUAUAGAUGGACCCGGGCCGUAUUAGCUAGUUGGUGAGGUAACGGCUCACCAAGGCAACGAUACGUAGCCGACCUGAGAGGGUGAUCGGCCACACGAGAACUGAGACACGGUCCAGACUCCUACGGGAGGCAGCAGUAGGGAAUCGUCCGCAAUGGGCGAAAGCCUGACGGAGCAACGCCGCGUGAGUGAUGAAGGUCUUCGGAUCGUAAAACUCUGUUAUUAGGGAAGAACAAAUGCGUAAGUAACUGUGCGCGUCUUGACGGUACCUAAUCAGAAAGCCACGGCUAACUACGUG
rnacentral:rRNA from 1 species